UUCUCCUCUUACAUGCAUUUUCUCUUCUUAGUUUGUAAUCUUUAAGACUUUUCUUCUUCUUAUGGUGGGGUUCGGGUUGUAGAUGAGUAAGGAGAUGAAGGGGUGCUAGGUUGAGCUCCUAAGAGAUUUAUGCUUGGAUUUGCUAGCUCUUGAGUUACAGGAGAGUGAAGACAGUAACACCCACAA